rnacentral:lncRNA from 1 species
GGCCUGGGGCUACUCCUGGCGCUGGGCCUGCCGCUGCUGUCGUCCCUGGGAACGACCCUGGGCGCAAAUAUCAACCCCUUCUGCAAAUGAGAGUAGCAUUGUUUGGCCUACACCCACCAGCUCCAGCUCCAGUGGAGCCCUGUUUCGGGGGGCCGUCACUGCUAUCAUCUUGGUCCUCUGAUUCCUGGCUGUCUUGUUCCUGGCAGUGGGGCUGGCACUAUUGGUGCGGAAGCUUCCGGAGAUGAGGCAGACGGAGGGCACCUACUGGCCCAGCAG